rnacentral:rRNA from 1 species
UUAAUAGCUGCAUUAUUUGACGUUAGCGACAGAAGAAGCACCGGCUAACUCCGUGCCAGCAGCCGCGGUAAUACGGAGGGUGCGAGCGUUAAUCGGAAUUACUGGGCGUAAAGCGCAUGCAGGUGGUUUGUUAAGUCAGAUGUGAAAGCCCCGGGGCUCAACCUCGGAAUAGCAUUUGAAACUGGCAGACUAGAGUACUGUAGAGGGGGUAGAAUUUCAGGUGUAGCGGUGAAAUGCGUAGAGAUCUGAAGGAAUACCGGUGGCGAAGGCGGCCCCCUGGACAGAUACUGACACUCAGAUGCGAAAGCGUGGGGAGCAAACAGGAUUAGAUACCCUGGUAG